rnacentral:rRNA from 1 species
CCGUAUAACGAACGAAGACCUUAACCUUACGCUAAAUAAGCCAGGCCGGCUUUCGCUGGUCGCCGGCUUCUUANAGGGACUGUCAGCGUCUAGCUGACGGAAGUUUGAGGCAAUAACAGGUCUGUGAUGCCCUUAGAUGUUCUGGGCCGCACGCGCGCUACACUGACAGAGCCAGCGAGUUUUUCACCUUGGCUGGAAGGUCUGGGUAAUCUUGUGAAACUCUGUCGUGCUGGGGAUAGGGCAUUGCAAUC